CUGAUCGAGACGAUGGGCCAACGCCAGUGCAGCGCGCCCGGUUCCGGGAACACUCUUUCCGGAAACGUCGGAGAAUCAG
rnacentral:ncRNA from 1 species